rnacentral:rRNA from 1 species
UGAACACGGAAGUUAAGCCCGCCAGCGCCGAUGGUACUUGGGUCGAGAGGCCCUGGGAGAGUAGGACGCCGCCGGAU